rnacentral:lncRNA from 1 species
GUCGAAGGACGAUGAGUCACAUCCAGAGAUUGACAGUCGCUAGGUCACGUAAGUGCGUCAUUGGUUAGUGUCCCGAGGAAGCUGUAAAACCCGGCCAUCUGCCGUAUUCGGCACGGACCCCAGGGUUGUGGACCUCGAAUAACCAGUCUCGCCUUGGGGGUGCGCGGUAAGUCGAUAGUCAUUUAUUCCGAACAAUCGCCACUUCCCGGAAUAAAAUAGAAUGAAACCAGAAAAAACAUCUGCAAUAUAUGUCUUGGCCAACAAAGAAGAAUCGCUGAUUGAUUAUAUUCGAUUUUAUGUAUAUGCAGAUACUGCUUACUUUGAGAUUUCUGUUAAAAUUUUACGAUACCGAAUUUCAGAUUCCAGUGGGAAAACAAAAUUUGUUGACGUGAACACACCUGCGCUUCGAAGGACAGCGUGUGAUCGAGCUAUAGUUAAUGUACGAUGAUGCCAAGAUGCUUGCUUUCAGAAGGGUGUGGCCAGGUCAUUUAUUAUUCAGUUCUGGCAGCCACAACACUACCUGGGCUUGAACUUUCUGAAGAAUAAACCUGCCGAGUAGUUUAUAUUUCUAAAAGAUAUUGCGCUAGAUAUAAAGAUGCACUUACCCCAUUCUUUCCUUCAUUGGAAGUUUUCUGUGGGGAGAUUCGACUGGUUUCUUGGGAAUCACGUGUCGAAGAUUCCUUGGAUGUAUACACUGGAGGUUUGGUU